AAAACAAAGACUGGUGGUUGGAGCAGACAAUGUGAGGGCACUAUAUAAGAGAACUCUGGAGCUCGACAUCGAGUACAAGAGGCUUUUAAUUAAAAAAACAAGGCUGGAGAUCGAAAAACUUGAAUAUGAGAAGAAGGUAGUACAUGACUGUAUGUAUGAAUGACUGAACUUACAGUUACACUGACAUUCUUUUUCUGUGUUCCUAGGAAAGGGACAACG